rnacentral:rRNA from 1 species
ACCUGCAGUCGAGCGGCAGCACGGGGGCACCCUGGUGGCGAGCGGCGGACGGGUGAGGAAUACAUCGGAAUCUGCCUUGUCGUGGGGGAUAACGUAGGGAAACUUACGCUGAUACCGCAUGCGACCGAAAGGUGAAAGUGGGGGACCGCAAGGCCUCACGCGAUAAGAUGAGCCGAUGUCGGAUUAGCUAGUUGGUGAGGUAAUGGCUCACCAAGGCGACGAUCCGUAGCUGGUCUGGGAGGAUGAUCAGCCACACUGGAACUGAGACACGGUCCAGACUCCUACGGGAGGCAGCAGUGGGGAAUAUUGGACAAUGGGCGCAAGCCUGAUCCAGCCAUGCCGCGUGGGUGAAGAAGGCCUUCGGGUUGUAAAGCCCUUUUGUUGGGGAAGAAAUCGUACGAGCGAAUACCUCGUGCGGAUGACGGUACCCAAAGAAUAAGCACCGGCUAACUUCGUGCCAGCAGCCGCGGUAAUACGAAGGGUGCAAGCGUUACUCGGAAUUACUGGGCGUAAAGCGUGCGUAGGCGGUUCGUUAAGUCUGUCGUGAAAGCCCUGGGCUCAACCUGGGAAUUGCGAUGGAUACUGGCGAGCUAGAGUGCGGUAGAGGAUGGUGGAAUUCCCGGUGUAGCGGUGAAAUGCGUAGAGAUCGGGAGGAACACCCGUGGCGAAGGCGGCCAUCUGGACCAGCACUGACGCUGAGGCACGAAAGCGUGGGGAGCAAACAGGAUUAGAUACCCUGGUAGUCCACGCCCUAAACGAUGCGAACUGGAUGUUGGGCACACUUAGGUGCUCAGUGUCGAAGCUAACGCGUUAAGUUCGCCGCCUGGGGAGUACGGUCGCAAGACUGAAA